CAUAGUCUGUAUUGGAAAAAAUAAUCACUUCAUCCGAUGUUUAAAGUGAAUGAAACAGCUUUGGCAGCCUACUUACUGAAGUUCCCCCACAACUUCCCCUUAUCCUAUACAAGUACACUGUUUUAUGUAUUAUUUGUAUCCGUUAGAUCAA